UCUUUAGGACCUCCUAAAAUUCAUGUCACAUCGAAUAUUUAGAUGUUAAUUAGGAGGACUAAACAUGAGCUAAUUAUAAAACUAAUUACACAGAUGGAGGCUAAAUCACGAGACAAAUCUAUUAAGCCUAAUUAAUCCAUCAUUAGCACAUGUUUACUGUAGCAUCAUAUUGUCAAAUCAUGGACUAAUUAGGCUUAAUAGAUUUGUCUCGCAAAUUAGUCUCCAUCUGUACAAUUGGUUUUAUAAUUAGUCUAUGUUUAAUACUCCUAAUUAGUAUUUAAAUAUUCGAUGUGACAGGAAUUUUAGGAGGUGCUAAAGAAACAAACACCCCCUUACAUGUAGUCUACGUUGCCCUAUGGCGUAGUCUUCAUGUUCUGAUAUGUCUUGAGUACGUCCCCUUGAGUAGGUCCGUACAGAUCUUCUGGUGGGCUUGGGGAUGUAUGGUU
rnacentral:lncRNA from 1 species